rnacentral:rRNA from 1 species
UACGUAGGGUGCAAGCGUAAUCGGAAUUACUGGGCGUAAAAGCGUGCGCAGGCGGUGAUGUAAGACAGGUGUGAAAUCCCCGGGCUUAACCUGGGAACUGCAUUUGUGACUGCAUCGCUGGAGUGCGGCAGAGGGGGGGUGGAAUUCCACGUGUAGCAGUGAAAUGCGAGAGAUGUGGAGGAACACCGAUGGCGAAGGCAGCCCCCUGGGCUAACACUGACGCCUCAUGCACGAAAGCGUGGGGAGCAACAGG